AACAAAUCCUAUGAAUUUCUGACUCCAGCAAUGGCUUGUCUAGAUUAAUUUUCAUCAAUAUACCGCCAUCUGAGACUUUGUCUAAUUUGUUAACAAUUUUCUCAAUUAAUUCAUCAGUUUGGCAAUUGGUUAUCUUUGAGACAGCUUCAAAGAAACAAGCAUUCUUUCGAGUCCCAGCCUUCCUCCUUUCCUCUUCCUUUAUUUCAUUUACUUUACUAACUGAGGAGCAACAUGGUUUAUUUUUAUUUUUUUCUUUUAAAAAAUUAUUUUCUCUCCCCAAGAUUCCACUCUGGUGUAGGAUUGGCAAUUUGCCUUUCUUAUUCUCAAUAAGCUCAACCAAUCCCGAUUCUUUGUUUUUUUCUUUCCUCGAUUUCUCCUUUUCAUCCACCCCUAUCCUAGGUUCACUUUCCCCUCCCUUAUUGAGUUUAAGUGCAUUGCUCAAUUCCUUCUGUACAUGAGUCGUGUGAGUUUCAGACUCUCCAACCCUUGA
rnacentral:misc_RNA from 1 species